UUAUAUAGCAUAGAUUUCAAAGUGCAGCAAAUAGCUACUACAACAGCGAAAGGGAACCAGUUAUGAGUUUAUUUUCUUAUGUAACACAUUACCCUAGAUGUUUGGCUAACUUAUUCCUUAAAGACAUGUGUGCAACCUAUAUAGUAUUGAAACUAAGCCCAAAUAAUGUGAAAGUGGGGAAGUCAACUACCCAAAGUAAGAACUGUUGCUCAUGGGCAACACUGACAACUAGCAACAGAUGUUACUAGCUUUGGCAGUUGGAAGGCAUGAUAUAGGAAGUCUAGCAUCCUUGGAGUUAGACUGAUAAAGACUAGGGGUAAAGAGAAGGGGGCUGCUACCUUUAGGCAGCCACAGUUAACAUUCUAUGUAAAUAGGAAUUAUAUUAGCUAUUAUGUUUCCAAAGAGUAGCAUAAUAGAGUGUAUUAUCGGAGUUUAGAAGCUAGCAAGGUAAGCCCAGUUAAACUUUUUGCAUUUCCUCUUCCAUUUCAUUUUUAUAGCAUGAUAAACUGUUAGUGGCUGGGUGGAGUUGGCUAUAACUGUUACAUAGAAUGGGUUGUGUUAGUAUUGCUAUUGUUGUGGCUGUGAUUUGUAUUGUUAAUAAAGUUUAAGGUAAG
rnacentral:lncRNA from 1 species